rnacentral:rRNA from 1 species
CUCCUAACAACACCUCCAGAAUCCAAGAAGUAGUUAAGAUUUUCUGGGUGUCAUGGAUUUAUACCUAAUUUUCCCUGGUUUUUUGGGCCCUAGAGUUUGAUCAUGGCUCAGAUUGAACGCUGGCGGCAGGCCUAACACAUGCAAGUCGAGCGGAAACGAGUUAUCUGAACCUUCGGGGGACGAUAACGGCGUCGAGCGGCGGACGGGUGAGUAAUGCCUAGGAAAUUGCCCUGAUGUGGGGGAUAACCAUUGGAAACGAUGGCUAAUACCGCAUAAUGCCUACGGGCCAAAGAGGGGGACCUUCGGGCCUCUCGCGUCAGGAUAUGCCUAGGUGGGAUUAGCUAGUUGGUGAGGUAAGGGCUCACCAAGGCGACGAUCCCUAGCUGGUCUGAGAGGAUGAUCAGCCACACUGGAACUGAGACACGGUCCAGACUCCUACGGGAGGCAGCAGUGGGGAAUAUUGCACAAUGGGCGCAAGCCUGAUGCAGCCAUGCCGCGUGUGUGAAGAAGGCCUUCGGGUUGUAAAGCACUUUCAGUCGUGAGGAAGGUAGUGUAGUUAAUAGCUGCAUUAUUUGACGUUAGCGACAGAAGAAGCACCGGCUAACUCCGUGCCAGCAGCCGCGGUAAUACGGAGGGUGCGAGCGUUAAUCGGAAUUACUGGGCGUAAAGCGCAUGCAGGUGGUUUGUUAAGUCAGAUGUGAAAGCCCGGGGCUCAACCUCGGAAUUGCAUUUGAAACUGGCAGACUAGAGUACUGUAGAGGGGGGUAGAAUUUCAGGUGUAGCGGUGAAAUGCGUAGAGAUCUGAAGGAAUACCGGUGGCGAAGGCGGCCCCCUGGACAGAUACUGACACUCAGAUGCGAAAGCGUGGGGAGCAAACAGGAUUAGAUACCCUGGUAGUCCACGCCGUAAACGAUGUCUACUUGGAGGUUGUGGCCUUGAGCCGUGGCUUUCGGAGCUAACGCGUUAAGUAGACCGCUUGGGGGACGGCCCCG